rnacentral:rRNA from 1 species
AUGCCGUGGCCGUCGCUGUCUUCACUGGCCGCAGGUGUCGUCGUCGUCGCUGACGAUGUCAACGUAGUCCCGCGACGUCCACAGGUGGGCCGGCGGUCCGUGGUGCACGGGGGCGGCGGGCUGGAAGGUGGUCAGUGCCUGCACCACCUCCUCCCGAGGCGAGGCCUCCCGCUCCGGCGACCGCGACGGCGUGGGGCACCAGUUCACGGCCCCCAGGGCGGCCGCCAUCUGCUCAGCGAAGCACGACCAGCUCCACCCCUGGCCCACCAAGUCAGGGUGGAACGCGGUCACCGGCGGCUCCUCCACCACCUUCUCCUUUGGCGCCAUCUCCAGCUCGGGGAUGGCGACGUCGCCGGCCGCGGAGAGGGCCAUCGUCUCCUCGAGGUCCGCCCAUUGACGCUCGUCGUGCGUGUGCUUGGAGUCCUUCAGCACACGCGCCAUGAGCCGGGCCUCCUCCUCUGCCGUCAUGCGAGGAGGUGGGGGUGGCGAUGGAGAUGGCGACAGCGUGCCCGCGCGCCUGGGGAGCCGCUCGGGGCUCACGUGGCCGCCGACGCCCCGUCGACGUGCCGGCGAAGAACGACGCCCGCCGCACGUCGUGCUCAUCGCGGAGCCAAGUGUCCCACAAUGGCGAGUCGCGGGCGUACCUCUCGUCGUAGUAGAGGUCGUCCGAGAGGAGGCGGCGGUGGCGCUGGAUCUCCUGGCGGCGCGCACGGUCGCUCUGCGGGACGGGCGGGAUCCGCACGCGAUCGGCCGACAGGUGCCAGUUAUUGGGGAGGUGGACGUCGCUCCGGGGCAGCGGCGUCCUCGUAUCCCAAUACCGGCGGCAGACGGCCGCCUCGAUGUAGUGUCGGUCGCGCUCGCCGACGACCGUGGGCGCGACGGAGAACGCAGGCGGCGCGGGGGCCCGAUGUGGUGGCGAUGGUGAUGCGGGCUCCUCCUUCUUCACCGAGCCGCGGCGGCGUCCCGACGAGGAACCAGCCUCGCGGUCGUGCUUGCCUUUGCGGCCAUAGUUCCAGAGGCCCAUGA